GUAUGAUUUUGUAAUUAAAUUUUUAAAAUAAAUAAAAUUUAGAUUAUUUUUUCAUUCAUGUUGUAUUUUUGAUUGUGUCCAUGAAUCAUUCGAAGAAUUAAUGGAGAUGACAUGUAUUCUUAAAAGUUAAGAAUUUGAGGUAUGUGUCAUUAGUGGUUAAUUCCUAAAUACUCCUGAUCGAUAGAUCAUCAUGGAGAUGAUGACUGAUCUAGAUAGAUUAGUGCAC
rnacentral:lncRNA from 1 species